GAUGAACGCUGGCGGCGUGCCUAAUACAUGCAAGUCGAGCGAACAGACGAGGAGCUUGCUCCUCUGACGUUAGCGGCGGACGGGUGAGUAACACGUGGAUAACCUACCUAUAAGACUGGGAUAACUUCGGGAAACCGGAGCUAAUACCGGAUAACAUGUUGAACCGCAUGGUUUAACAGUGAAAGACGGUCUUGCUGUCACUUAUAGAUGGAUCCGCGCCGCAUUAGCUAGUUGGUAAGGUAACGGCUUACCAAGGCAACGAUGCGUAGCCGACCUGACAGGGUGAUCGGCCACACUGGAACUGAGACACGGUCCAGACUCCUACGGGAGGCAGCAGUAGGGAAUCUUCCGCAAUGGGCGAAAGCCUGACGGAGCAACGCCGCGUGAGUGAAGAAGGUCUUCGGAUCGUAAAACUCUGUUAUUAGGGAAGAACAAAUGUGUAAGUAACUAUGCACGUCUUGACGGUACCUAAUCAGAAAGCCACGGCUAACUACGUG
rnacentral:rRNA from 1 species